GAUGAACGCUGGCGGCGUGCCUAAUACAUGCAAGUCGAGCGAACAGACGAGGAGCUUGCUCCUCUGACGUUAGCGGCGGACGGGUGAGUAACGCGUGGAUAACCUACCUAUAAGACUGGGAUAACUUCGGGAAACCGGAGCUAAUACCGGAUAAUAUAUUGAACCGCAUGGUUCAAUAGUGAAAGACGGUUUUGCUGUCACUUAUAGAUGGAUCCGCGCCGCAUUAACUAGUUGGUAAGGUAACGGCUUACCAAGGCAACGAUGCGUAGCCGACCUGAGAGGGUGAUCGGCCACACUGGAACUGAGACACGGUCCAGACUCCUACGGGAGGCAGCAGUAGGGAAUCUUCCGCAAUGGGCGAAAGCCUGACGGAGCAACGCCGCGUGAGUGAUGAAGGUCUUCGGAUCGUAAAACUCUGUUAUUAGGGAAGAACAAAUGUGUAAGUAACUAUGCACGUCUUGACGGUACCUAAUCAGAAAGCCACGGCUAACUACGUG
rnacentral:rRNA from 1 species